UACAGAGGUCCCGAGCGUUGUUCGGAUUCACUGGGCGUAAAGGGUGCGUAGGUGGCGAGGUAAGUCGGAUGUGAAAGCUCGGAGCUCAACUCCGAAAUGGCAUUGGAAACUACCUUGCUCGAGGGUUGGAGGGGGGACUGGAAUUCUCGGUGUAGCAGUGAAAUGCGUAGAUAUCGAGAGGAACACCAGUGGCGAAGGCGAGUCCCUGGACAACUACUGACACUGAGGCACGAAAGCCAGGGGAGCAAACGGG
rnacentral:rRNA from 1 species